CGGAAACUCGCAGGUGAAUGUGUGUACACACAGAUGACGAACCACACACAAGCGCUCUGCCAAACUCCCAAUAUCUCCAAACGAGAGCGGACAGCGGAAUUUAAAUCGGAUUUCUAUAUCAUAUCAAAAGCAUGUCCGCUUUUGUGGCCCAUCCCUCGGUUCGUGUCAGAGGAAAAGAACACACAUACACACCUGUGCUGUGUCAGGAUGAGAAGUAUUUAGGGCAGGAAAAAGGAGUGCACAUGUACUGCCCGCUCUGUUCUGUGGCUGAGGCUUACCAAGAGCCCGUCAUCCUGCUCAUCAAACAUGUGGACAAAGGCAUUCACUUUGCAGGCUUGAAGGUGCUUGCGUUGCUGUAUCCACUGUGAGAUUGUGAGCACCAUUAAAGGAGAAAAACGGGUUAAAAGUGCACACUGGCACUGUUACCGCUGUAGAAAUGGUUUCAACAGGAGGGACGGGGCCAUCAAACACUAUAAAACUUCCGAAAUCCCCACACCACAUUCUAGAUCCAAGUCACACAGAAUCUGAACUGCCGACAGUAUUAUGGUGAGAGCUCAGAGGCUUAUGUUAAAGCCUAUGAAGGGCUGGCGGUUAGUCUUGGACCAGGUGGAGAUGGCACUAGCUUUGGAUCCAUCUUAACUCAGCCCAUCCUGACACUGAAACUCUAUUUACUGUGGAGCCAAAGAAGAUGGUGAGAGAAAUGGAAUCCCAUUGGGAGCUGAGUUAGAGGUGGGGUCUUCCCAGAAUUCACCUGACGGGACUCAGACUCUUGUUCUUAUGGACCCUGAUGGACAGGGAAACAGUGUGAUCUAUGACACAGCUACAGGUAUCCUCACUGAACAGUUGGAAAACCUUCCUUAGUUGGAAGCUCAGCAAAAGGAGUUCCUGCAGGCCCAGCUGUCCUCACUCAGGAGGGAGAGACGGUCAGGGGCAGAUAACAUCUCUAUCAAUGGCCACAAGGGGGCUCUGGAGCUCAAUGUAGAUUCAGAGGAGUCACAAACUGAAGCCAUCAGUGGCACUUUAACAGUACUGGAGGAUAUGGAUGUGCAACUACAAACUGAGUAACAUAAAUCCACAGAGCUUGAGUUAGUAGCAGCCGAGGCAAUUCCCUGUUUGGAGAGCCCCGGCUUGGACUUAGAUUUGCCAGAUACUGGCUUGACUUCAUCUAAGGUUUUAGAGGAUAAACGGGAAGUGUCAUUGUCCCUUGUGUCAUCUAAGAAGCUCAGCUCAGCGGAAGACUCAGAAGAGAUGACUGAAAGCAAAGUACAGAGAUUUAGCUGAAAAUGACUUGACAUUAAAAACACACUGGUCUCCAUUCUUCAUUCUUAACAAAUUGCUGUUACAAUUCCCAAACAUAAUACAUAAAUCUUUAAUUUGGCAAAAUAUACAUUAAAAAAUUCCAUGUUCAA